rnacentral:rRNA from 1 species
GGGGAAUAUUGCACAAUGGGCGCAAGCCUGAUGCAGCGACGCCGCGUGAGGGAUGACGGCCUUCGGGUUGUAAACCUCUUUCAGCAGGGAAGAAGCGCAAGUGACGGUACCUGCAGAAGAAGCACCGGCUAACUACGUGCCAGCAGCCGCGGUAAUACGUAGGGUGCGAGCGUUGUCCGGAAUUAUUGGGCGUAAAGAGCUCGUAGGCGGCCUGUCACGUCGGAUGUGAAAGCCCGGGGCUUAACCCCGGGUCUGCAUUCGAUACGGGCAGGCUAGAGUUCGGUAGGGGAGAUCGGAAUUCCUGGUGUAGCGGUGAAAUGCGCAGAUAUCAGGAGGAACACCGGUGGCGAAGGCGGAUCUCUGGGCCGAUACUGACGCUGAGGAGCGAAAGCGUGGGGAGCGAAC